rnacentral:tRNA from 1 species
GGGGCUGUAGCUCAGCUGGGAGAGCGCCUGACUGGCAGUCAUGAGGUCGUGGGUUCGAUCCCCAUCAGCUCCACGA